rnacentral:rRNA from 1 species
AUUGAACGCUGGCGGCAGGCCUAACACCUGCAAGUCGAGCGCGCGGCGGACGGGUGAGAAAUGUCUGGGAAACUGCCUGAUGGAGGUGGGUAACUCCUGGAAACGGUAGCUAAUACCGCAUACCAUCAGCAGUGCCCCCAUGGGAGUAGCUAGUAGGUGGGGUAACGGCUCACCUCGGCGACGAUCCCUAGCUGAUCUUAGAGUAUGACAAGCCACACUGUAACGGAGACACGGUCCAGACUCCUACGGGAGGCAGCAGGGGGGAAUAUUGCAAAAUGGGCGCAAGCCUGAUGCAGCCAUGCCGCGUGUGUGAAGAAGGCCUUCGGGUUGUAAAGCACUUUCAGCGGGGAGGCGUUACCCGCAGAAGAAGCACCGGCUAACUCCGUGCCAGCAGCCGCGGUAAUUC